CUACGGGAGGCAGCAGUGGGGAAUCUUGCGCAAUGGGCGAAAGCCUGACGCAGCAACGCCGCGUGAGGGACGAAGGUCUUCGGAUUGUAAACCUCUUUCAGCAGGGACGAAGCGAAAGUGACUGUACCUGCAGAAGAAGCACCGGCUACCUACGUGCCAGCAGCCGCGGUAAUACGUAGGGUGCAAGCGUUGUCCGGAUUUAUUGGGCGUAAAGAGCUCGUAGGCGGUCUGUCGCGUCGGAUGUGAAAACCCAAUGGCUUAACCUUGGGCCUGCAUUCGAUACGGGCAGACUAGAGUGUGGUAGGGGAAACUGGAACUCCUGGUGUAGCGGUGGAAUGCGCAGAUAUCAGGAAGAACACCGAUGGCGAAGGCAGGUUUCUGGGCCAUAACUGACGCUGAGGAGCGAAAGCGUGGGGAGCGAACAGGAUUAGAUACCCUGGUAGUCC
rnacentral:rRNA from 1 species